GAUGAACGCUGGCGGCGUGCCUAAUACAUGCAAGUCGAGCGAAUGGAUUAAGAGCUUGCUCUUAUGAAGUUAGCGGCGGACGGGUGAGUAACACGUGGGUAACCUGCCCAUAAGACUGGGAUAACUCCGGGGAACCGGGGCUAAUACCGGAUAACAUUUUGAACCGCAUGGUUCGAAAUUGAAAGGCGGCUUCGGCUGUCACUUAUGGAUGGACCCGCGUCGCAUUAGCUAGUUGGUGAGGUAACGGCUCACCAAGGCAACGAUGCGUAGCCGACCUGAGAGGGUGAUCGGCCAAACUGGGACUGAGACACGGCCCAUAAUCCUACGGGAGGCAGCAGUAGGGAAUCUUCCGCAAUGGACGAAAGUCUGACGGAGCAACGCCGCGUGAGUGAUGAAGGCUUUCGGGUCGUAAAACUCUGUUGUUAGGGAAGAACAAGUGCUAGUUGAAUAAGCUGGCACCUUGACGGUACCUAACCAGAAAGCCACGGCUAACUACGUGCCAGCCGCCGCGGUAA
rnacentral:rRNA from 1 species